UGAUGAUUACUUGGUGCCAUUUGGAGUUU
rnacentral:piRNA from 1 species